rnacentral:rRNA from 1 species
GACGAACGCUGGCGGCGUGCUUAACACAUGCAAGUCGAACGGGCCUGUCUUCUUUUUUGGGGGUGGGUUGAGUGGCGAACGGGUGAGUAUCACGUGAGUAACCUGCCCUUCGGUCCUGGAUAACCGCUUGAAAGGGCGGCUAAUACGGGGUGGUCCGGUUGGUCCGCAUGGGCUGGUCGGGAUAGAUUCACUGUUUUUGGUGUUUCGGCGGGGGAUGGGCUCGCGGCCUAUCAGCUUGUUGGUGGGGUGAUGGCCUACCAAGGCGGUGACGGGUAGCCGGCCUGGGAGGGUGGGCGGCCACACUGGGACUGAGAUACGGCCCAGACUCCUGCGGGAGGCAGCAGUGGGGGGUAGUGCACAAUGGGCGGAAGCCUGAUGCAGCGACGUCGCGUGAGGGAUGGAGGCCUUCGGGUUGUGAACCUCUGUUUCCGGUGGUGAAGGCCCUGUCCGUGUGGUGGGGUUGACGGUAGCCGGGGAUGAAGCGCCGGCUAACUACGUG